UUAUCCACCCUGGUGGAAAGGCCUCUCUCCCUCUACACUCGCUCUGAAGAAGCGAGGAGGAUAAUUUCCUUUCCCACCUUUCCCUUUCUCACCUUCUUUUUAAUUCGGCUUUAUUUUCAUUCCCACUCCCCCACCCCCCACCACACAGGGCUCACAGCUCCCCUCGGGCGUGCUCCUGCUCCCUCUAUCUCUUUCCAUAAGCCUCUGCCAAGAGGAUCACUUCAUAGGGACGGUUCUGAUGACUCUUGAUCUCGGGAAGCGGCCGAAGGGGACAUUUCUGCCCUCCUGGGGACUGCGGCGAGCUCUGCCCCGGCUGUGUCCCCACCGCUGUGUCCUCUUCUGCACCCAGAGCCGGAGAUGGAACACUCCUCUCCCUUGGCCCGCAGCGAAAGUACACCCCAGGUGUCCUCCCUCCCACCCAAGUGCCUUCUCCAGAUGUCACCGAGGUGGGGGAGCCGAGGCCGUCCCGGCGGCCUUAGGACUGGGGGCUGAGCGGCGAAGGGGCCGGGGCCAGCCCCGCAGCGAGGUGCAGCCUCAGGGAGCCGGGGUACAAGCGGUGCCCCCUCCAGAUUCCGCACCCCCGAGCUCCCUUCUCAGCCGCCACAAAUAGCCCGUGCACGUCUCCGGGUUGCUUUGCGCCGAAAUCCCGAUUUAAAAAAAUAGUUUUUUCCCCUCCGCGCUGCGGAGUGAGGGAGCAGAGCCAGCGCGGAAAAUGGAAUAGUCGGAGGAGCAGCGCUGCGACGUUCCCUUCGCUCAGGGAGGUGGGCAGCCGCCCCCAGGCUCUGCUCGGAGCUGGGCUCGCCCCUGGCCCGCGGGCAGGUGUCAGGCACACGGCGGGGAGGAAAUGAAAGCACAGCUUGAGUUCGUUUUUCCCUCCAUCCUACCCGGUGCAGCGCUGCCGGGGGAAAUGUUUUUUUUUUUCGGGAGUUGGAUGGGAACGACUCGCUGCCCGGCCCCGCUCCGAGAUGCAGAGUGUUCUACUGCCGCGCUGUUUUAUGUGUCCGGGACACACAAGAUGGGAAAUAUUCCCUAGGAGGGAAAGGUGCUUUGAGAGAAUCGGGAACGCGGCUCCUUUCUUAACCAUCUCUUCUCACCCUGGUUUCGAGGGGGGAAAAGAAACCGCGGGGAAGCCGCGCAGCAGCCGAAGGAGCUCCUCCCGGCGAGCCCAUCGAAAACGGACGUUUCCCCACGAACGAACCCGCAGGACGGCGAUUCGCAGCGCGGGGUCGGCCCGACCGAGGGGCUCCCACCGCAGGUGCCGCGGCGGGGGGCUCCGUUCCGGCACAGUUGUGCCGUUUCCUUGCUCACAGGGAAAAAAGAAAGCCGAGGACUAUUUUCUUUACUUUCUCCUCGCUGGUCCAACGGGGACUGUUCUGUUUUCCCUUCGGCCGCUUUCCUCGGGAAGACGGAAAGAACCCCGGUGGCCCCUCUCGGCGCUGUGUGCAAACGAGGGGGUCCGCUUUCCGCUACUCUCUCCAGGCUGCUCCGGGGUUUGGGGAG
rnacentral:lncRNA from 1 species